rnacentral:misc_RNA from 1 species
GAAAUGCGAUAAGUAGUGUGAAUUGCAGAAUUCAGUGAAUCAUCGAAUCUUUGAACGCAUAUUGCGCUCUCUGGUAUUCCGGGGAGCAUGCCCGUUUCAGAAUCAUUAAAAGCUAUCUGUUCCUCCCCUGGUGGAGGUACGGGAUGUUGGAUAUUUUGCAUUCAAAAUAGUGCAAUCAUCCUAAUGGCAUUGUGCAUGCCCCAGACUGAGCUGGCUGGCUUCCAAGGUGCAACAGAUUAUAUCUUUACACUCUGGAGUAGCUAGGAGCAGCCUGGUGUGUUGUGUGCUCCCAUAUAUAUAUCUGAGCUCUGAGGGUGCUCUUCUUGUAGUAGCUCUGUGCUCUUAUAUCUUUGGUCUGAAAUCGGGCAAGGAAACCCGCUGAACUUAA